GAUAGCACCAGUCAUGCCUGCCUAUGCCAGUUGAAGAACUUACUGCUCCUCUUCUGAAUGCAACUAGACUGUAGAUCUUACCAGGUUGCAGGAAGGAUGUGUACUGUCAGCAACUCUCAGAAGGCUGAACAAACGAGUCCCACAGCAGCCCUGGGAAGGAUCUCUGCUGUACCUUUUGGGAGGGCAGAUUUUUUACUGGAGGCUAGCACGUUUUGA
rnacentral:lncRNA from 1 species